GACGAACGCUGGCGGCGUGCCUAAUACAUGCAAGUCGAGCGGACGAUUCGAAAGCUUGCUUUUGAAUCGUUAGCGGCGGACGGGUGAGUAACACGUGGGCAACCUGCCCUGUAGACGGGGAUAACACCGAGAAAUCGGUGCUAAUACCGGAUAACACGAAAUGUCGCAUGACGUUUCGUUGAAAGGCGGCGCAAGCUGCCGCGACAGGAUGUGCCCGCGGCGCAGUAGCUAGUUGGUGAGGGAACGGCGCACCAAGGCGACGAUGGGUAGCCGACCCGAGAUGGUGAGGGGGCACACUGGGACUGAGACACGGCACAGACUCCGACGGGAAGCAGCAGUAGGGAAUCGUCCGAGAUGGCCGAAAGUCUGACGGAGCAACGCCGCGUGAGCGAAGAAGGCCUUCGGGUCGUAAAGCUCAGUUGUUAGGGAAGAACAGGUAACGUAGUAACUGACGUUACUAUGACGGUACCUAAAGAGAAAGCCACGGCUAACUACGUG
rnacentral:rRNA from 1 species